rnacentral:rRNA from 1 species
UGGGGAAUUGUUCGCAAUGGGCGCAAGCCUGACGACGCAACGCCGCGUGGAGGAUGAAGAUUUUCGGAUCGUAAACUCCUGUCGAGUGGGAAGAACAGUUCUGGGGUGAACAAUCCUGUAGCCUGACGGUACCACUAAAGGAAGUCCCGGCUACCUCCGUGCCAGCAGCCGCGGUAAUACAGAGGUGGCAAGCGUUGUUCGGAAUUACUGGGCGUAAAGGGCGCGUAGGCGGCCAUCUAAGUCAGACGUGAAAUCCCCCGGCUUAACCUGGGAACUGCGUCUGAUACUGGACGGCUUGAGUUUGGGAGAGGGAUGCAGAAUUCCAGGUGUAGCGGUGAAAUGCGUAGAUAUCUGGAGGAAUACCGGUGGCGAAGGCGGCAUCCUGGACUAAUACUGACGCUGAGGCGCGAAAGCUAGGGGAGCAAA